GUAACCUGGCAGGAAGACAUCAAGUGAAAACCAGUCUGAGCCCCACUGGGCUAGCACUUCUCAGCAGCCACCCGCCUGUCAUUUCACAGGCUCAGAAUCAGGGUCUGCAAUGCAGGUGCCAUGGCGGACACUGAAGAAGCAGGGCUCAUCUCCAUAUCCAGAUGCGUUGAAAAUGAACUCCAGCCACCAGAAGCAAACAGCAGAGAGGCAGAAGCAGCCUAAUGCAAGCCUUCCUCCUCCUGGGUUGAAUUCUGCCCAUACUCUGUCUGAUGCCUUCAUCCCUUAGGCCGUGUGGGCAUCCCACUGUUCAGAGUUUUCAUGCUUGAGCCGGGCAAUUUGAUGUUCUUUCCAUAGCAAGAGAGCCCAGAAAUGGUCAUGAAAUCUACAUACCAAAGAGGGAAUCUUAAACGUGUUUCCUCAUGUUAUGUCUCCCAUUAGCAUGUAUAUAGAUGGGUGCACAGAAUAUGUGGCAGCUGAGUGCCCAGCCCUGCAAGAGCAUCUGUGUCAAGAGUGCAUUGCUCCAGGAGCUCUGGUCUGCAAAAGACAGUCCAGAGAAUGAGAAUGUGGGCACCAGGAGGAGGAAAGGGCCAGGGGGACCCAGCACCUGCAGCUCUCUCUGUGCAGGAUGGCGGUAAGCACACUGCCGGGAGAAGACAGUCAUCAGCGCUCUGCGGCAGUCCAUUCUGUAUGCUGCAAUGCCCACCUGCUGGAGACGGUAUGCCCAUGAAUGCAAUCAUGGCCUGAGAGCUAGGACGCCCUGAAAAGGACAUAGUACCAGUACCACCAGAUACCAUCCUCUCAACAGCCCUGAAAAGGACAUAGUACCAGUACCACCAGAUACCAGGCGCAACCUGCAAACCAGUAAUGAUGUACGCAAUGCAACAGAAAAGAAUAAAUCACAGGAGAAAGCUGCACGGGUGAGCACUUCCUGAGAUCUGAAUUCGGUGUCUGGGAUCUCUCUGAAUCUAGAAAUAAGUCACCUGGUUGUGGCUUACACCUGUCAGAUCCCAAGAAAAGCAGCCAGUUCUGAGAGUUUCAGGUCUCGAAACAAGAACAUUCAGGAGCACUCUGUAGGGAAGGAACUGUGUUCCCCUGAAGAUCAUCAGAAGUAUUCGAGGUACGUGCAAACACUUGAAAGUGCGCAUGUGCGAGCUCUUGGGCGUGCACGCAGGCAAGUGCUGCUCCAUAGAGGAAAAGUGCAGUGACAAUGAACUCCCCUGGCUGUGCAAAUGUUUCAUGUGUACAGCUUUUAGGUGUGAUCUCUAUAGCAUGUUCACAUAUGACCUAUGACAGCUGACUCUUGCCAUCCACAAUCAAGCGGAACUGCAAGUUUAAAGAAUCACGUUUAAUAACAAAGUUUACAAAUGUUUUUAAAGCCCUCAGCACUGGAACACGCACACUCACGUGUGCUCAGAGACCAAAGAGAUUGAAUGGCUUGACUCUGCGGAGAGAAAGACUUGGCUGCCGAGCUUCUAAGAGGCAGAGGAGAGGCCCCGCUGUCGGGGAGGUCAUAUUUGCUUACAUGGAUUUAGCCUAUGGUGAGCAGCCCCCGUUCCUCCUGAAUGUAGAAAAGCUCUCCCCAGUCUCCGUGGGACAAUAAUCGGGGCCUCUGUUUUGCUCUGGGAUAAUCACAUAUAUUAUGAUUACACUUCUCUCACCUGCCAAGAGAAAACUUGUCACAGUUGCCUGGGGCUCUCAAUCCUGCUCCUGUGCUUUGCCGAGUUCCCUAGAAAGGCACAGAUACUGAGCUGAGCCUAAGAUGUCCCGCAGCACAUCUUGGGCCUAGGGUUGUCCCUGCAGCAGCCAGCAGGUGCUUGGGAGNNNNNNNNNNNNNNNNNNNNNNNNNNNNNNNNNNNNNGGGUUUCUCUGUAUAGUCCUGGUUGUCCUGGAACUCACUCUGUAGACCAGGCUGGCCUCGAACUCAGAAAUCUGCCUGCCUCUGCCUCCCGAGUGCUAGGAUUAAAGGCAUGUGCCACCACGCCAGGCUGCUUGGGAGUCUUAAGGUGCUGUGGGAAGCCCCCACUCAGUGCCCAGAAGCAGCUUCCCUGCCCAGGCCCCCUCACAUAGGGCCUGGGUGUGAUUUGUUUCACAACACUCUCUGGNNNNNNNNNNNNNNNNNNNNNNNNNNNNNNNNNNGGGUUAAAGCAAAAUUGUUGAUUCAAGGGUCUCUGAAAAUGAACCAAACACAGUCAUCCAAUCCAGUGUGUCCAGGCCUCGCCACGCACUGUUCCCUCUGUGCAGUGACAUGGACAGCUGCUGACCCCGGAUAUGUUCUUAGAGUGAGUGUCACAGGAAGCCAAGAGGUAAGACAAUGUCAGAUCAGGGAGGAAUUCUUGUUCUUUACCAGUGUCCCACACAAGACUCUGCGUGUUUCUACCCCUCUCUGAGUUGUCCUUCAGGCAAAUGGAGGACCUGUGUCCAUUCACAGGGAACAGGACUUUAAUGGUCGGAACUGCAAUGGACAACCGAGCCCUGUGUCACUAAAUAAGAGCAGGCAGCCUGGGAUGGAAAUGCUAAGUCCUUGGGAUUCCCUGCAUGAGCUCCUCUUUGCCAUAAUGACCCGAAGUGGGCUGAAAAUUUCUUCUCCGAGUCAGGCCAAGGCUGACGGGGAGCUGUAACUGUGGACUUUGCAUCAGCCUGAGUGGAUGAAGCAAUAUUUUUGGAUUUGACUGUGAAGUGAUUCUAAAGGAACUUAUGUGCGGGUUCACGGACUCAGUGGCAAUGUGAAGCCAUCAGAGCUUCACUGGAAGAAGCAGUGUGGGAGCAGACACUCCCGCUGCGUCUCCCCCGAGAUAGACGCUUUCUUUAUCUUUUUUUUUUAAAGGAAAUCAAAGUUUAAUCAUUUUCUACUCAUUAAUUAAUGGCCAUGCUGACCAAUAAGUCACAUGAAUGUCGAUUUCACUUUAUUUGAAUACCACACACAAUACAAAUUUAAACUUGCCAUACCCUUCCACAAACCAUCACUGCAUAUAAUAGAGCUUUUUUUUUUGACAAAGUUAUUGAGCUAUUAUUAUAGAUCAAAAGCACAGUUUUGGUUUGUUUGUUUGUUUAAUUUAGAAGCAUGUUCAAAUGACUAAAGCUGGGAUCCUAAAAUUGAGAGCUUUGGCGCAGCAGGUGAGCUGUGGUUACUGACGUCCGCAAAUCAAAAGCACACAAGUAAAACCCAAUAAAAACCCCAAAACAAAAUACCGUCAAACUUUGACAGUUGAGAAAUAAUUGCUAGAAAAAGGAUUUGUCAUCACAAUGUUAAAACUGAAUAAACAGAUUACUCAUGGU
ensembl:antisense Gm21284 predicted gene, 21284